rnacentral:rRNA from 1 species
GACGAACGCUGGCGGCGUGCCUAAUACAUGCAAGUUGAGCGCUGAAGGUUGGUACUUGUACCAACUGGAUGAGCAGCGAACGGGUGAGUAACGCGUGGGGAAUCUGCCUUUGAGCGGGGGACAACAUUUGGAAACGAAUGCUAAUACCGCAUAAAAACUUUAAACACAAGUUUUAAGUUUGAAAGAUGCAAUUGCAUCACUCAAAGAUGAUCCCGCGUUGUAUUAGCUAGUUGGUGAGGUAAAGGCUCACCAAGGCGAUGAUACAUAGCCGACCUGAGAGGGUGAUCAGCCACAUUGGGACUGAGACACGGCCCAAACUCCUACGGGAGGCAGCAGGAGGGCAUCUUCGGCAAUGGACGAAAGUCUGACCGAGCAACGCCGCGUGAGGGAAGAAGGUUUUCGGAUCGUAAAACUCUGUUGGUAGAGAAGAACGUUGGUGAGAGUGGAAAGCUCAUCAAGUGACGGUAACUACCCAGAAAGGGACGGCUAACUACGUG